rnacentral:lncRNA from 1 species
ACACCUAGAGGUUCCGUUAUUUGGUUUUAUCGGAUUGCCAAUAUAUGCUACUAGGCAUCACUAAUGGAUUGUGAGAGCCUACAGAAUGACGCGCGGUUGGUUAUUCUCAAAGGCUGCAUUUGGAAAUGGAAUAGUGUUUAGGGGGAUAAUAUUUUUUAUUCUUGAGAUUAGGAUGUAUUGUAGGAUAAUGAGGAAUAAAAUGAAAUGUAUGUUUGGUACGAAAUUCUCUUAUUCCAAAGAAUAAGCAAAUUUUUGUUUGGUUAAUUUUAUGAUAAGAGUUAGAGAAUACUAAAAAAGGUAGAU